UGGAUAAUGGUUAUCUAUUUGUCCUGA
rnacentral:piRNA from 1 species